rnacentral:rRNA from 1 species
UGAGGAAUAUUGGGCAAUGGGCGAAAGCCUGACCCAGCCACGCCGCGUGUGUGAUGAAGGCCUUCGGGUCGUAAAGCACUGUGGGGAGAGACGAAACAGCGCGCCAGGAAAUGGGUGCGCCUUGACGGUACCUCCUUAGCAAGCACCGGCUAACUCUGUGCCAGCAGCCGCGGUAAUACAGAGGGUGCAAACGUUGCUCGGAUUUACUGGGCGUAAAGCGCGUGUAGGCGGACUCGCAAGUCGGUUGUGAAAUCCCUGGGCUCAACCUAGGAACUGCAUCCGAAACUGCUUGUCUUGAGUAAUGGAGAGGGUGGCGGAAUUCCCGGUGUAGAGGUGAAAUUCGUAGAUAUCGGGAGGAACAUCAGUGGCGAAGGCGGCCACCUGGACAUUUACUGACGCUGAGACGCGAAAGCGUGGGGAGCAAACAGGAUUAGAUACCCUGGUAGUCCACGCCGUAAACGAUGAGAACUAGGUGCAGCGGAUAUUGACCUCUGCUGUGCCGUAGCUAACGCGUUAAGUUCUCCGCCUGGGGAGUACGGCCGCAAGGCUA